rnacentral:sRNA from 1 species
AUGGCUGUCGUCAGCUCGUGUCGUGAGAUGUUGGGUUAAGUCCCGCAACGAGCGCAACCCUUGUCAUUAGUUGCUACGAAAGGGCACUCUAAUGAGACUGCCGGUGACAAACCGGAGGAAGGUGGGGAUGACGUCAGGUCCUCAUGGCCCUUAUGGGUAGGGCUACACACGUCAUACAAUGGCCGGUACAGAGGGUCGCCAACCCGCGAGGGGGAGCCAAUCCCAGAAAACCGGUCGUAGUCCGGAUCGCAGUCUGCAACUCGACUGCGUGAAGUCGGAAUCGCUAGUAAUCGCGGAUCAGCUUGCCGCGGUGAAUACGUUCCCGGGUCUUGUACACACCGCCCGUCACACCAUGGGAGCGGGUUCUGCCAGAAGUAGUUAGCCUAACCGCAAGGAGGGCGAUUACCACGGCAGGGUUCGUGACUGGGGUGAAGUCGUAACAAGGUAGCCGUAUCGGAAGGUGCGGCUGGAUCACCUCCUUUCUGGAAAAAUGCACUCAAGUUCUUGCGUCCACGCUUAUCGGCUGUAAUUCAAAACAACAGUGGAAGUGCGCGUGGGGCCUGGUUAGAACGUUGGAUGGGCUGAUAGAUAGACAUCUGACAGGCCGGGCCGACGCGAACAGACUCAUGUGUCACCUGGCUGCACCGACCGACGAGGUUGCUGCGGCCUGUGCCGAUUACGUGGGUCUGUAGCUCAGUUGGUUAGAGCAUCGUCUUGAUAAGGCGGGGGUCGUUGGUUCGAAUCCAACCAGACCCACCACACGUCAAUCGGGGGAUUAGCUCAGCUGGGAGAGCACCUGCUUUGCAAGCAGGGGGUCGUCGGUUCGAUCCCGACAUCCUCCACCACUUCUACGCGCAUCGGUGCAAACCCAAGCGGCUGUCAGUUUACUGACGGGCCGCUUUGGUUUGCCAUCGAAAGUUGGCUGUUGUUCUUUAACAAUUUAUAGAGUCGAAUCUACAUCGUCGACGGAAAGCAUACAGGGGUAAAGGCCUGGCUGCACCGUGCCGUCGACGAUAUUAUGAUUGCGUCAACAGAUAUAUUCAACUCUGCAGUAUUUUAGAUACGAGAGAUUGAUAGGCAAACGCGAAAUACUCAAAUAUUGACUAUCCAGUCAAUGAUUUCAGUCCUUGACGAUGUCACCUUAGUCGGGUGACGUCAAAGUUAUAGGGUCAAGUGACUAAGUGCAUGUGGUGGAUGCCUUGGCGAUUACAGGCGACGAAGGACGUGAUAGCCUGCGAUAAGCUUCGGGGAGCUGGCAAAUUAGCUUUGAUCCGGAGAUUUCCGAAUGGGGAAACCCGG